GACAGAGGUGCCAAGCGUUAGGCGGAAUCACUGGGCUUAAAGCGUGUGUAGGCGGAUCGUUAAGUACCUUGUGAAAUCCCACGGCUCAACCGUGGAACUGCUGGGUAUACUGGCGGUCUUGAGCCACCUAGGGGCAACUGGAACAAGCGGUGGAGCGGUGAAAUGCGUAGAUAUCGCUUGGAACGCCAAUGGUGAAAACAGGUAGCUGGGGCUGUGCUGACGCUGAGACACGAAAGCCAGGGGAGCAAACGGG
rnacentral:rRNA from 1 species